UCUGGGAGCUGGCUUGCCGGCGAUGACGGUGUGUCAGGCGAUUACUGCUUCGUCUGAUGAACCGUCAUCGCCGGCAAGCCAGCUCCCACA
rnacentral:misc_RNA from 1 species